AGAGUUUGAUCAUGGCUCAGGAUGAACGCUAGCGGGAGGCUUAACACAUGCAAGUCGAGGGGCAGCACGAGGUAGCAAUACUUUGGUGGCGACCGGCGCACGGGUGAGUAACACGUAUGCAACCUACCCUGUACAGGGGGAUAGCCCGGAGAAAUUCGGAUUAAUACCCCAUAAUGAUAUUGAAAGGCAUCUUUUAAUAUUUAAAGUUUCAACGGUACGGGAUGGGCAUGCGCAACAUUAGCUAGUUGGUAGGGUAACGGCCUACCAAGGCUACGAUGUUUAGGGGACCUGAGAGGGUGAUCCCCCACACUGGUACUGAGACACGGACCAGACUCCUACGGGAGGCAGCAGUGAGGAAUAUUGGUCAAUGGGCGUAAGCCUGAACCAGCCAUCCCGCGUGCAGGAAGACAGCGCUAUGCGUUGUAAACUGCUUUUCCAGGGGAAGAAAACCCGCUACGUGUAGCGGUUUGCCGGUACCCUGGGAAUAAGCAUCGGCUAACUCCGUGCCAGCAGCCGCGGUAAUACGGAGGAUGCGAGCGUUAUCCGGAUUUAUUGGGUUUAAAGGGUGCGUAGGCGGAUUGAUAAGUCAGUGGUGAAAACCUUCAGCUUAACUGGAGAAUUGCCAUUGAUACUGUUAGUCUUGAGUACGGUCAAGGUAGGCGGAAUGUGUAAUGUAGCGGUGAAAUGCUUAGAUAUUACACAGAACACCGAUUGCGAAGGCAGCUUACUGGGCCAUUACUGACGCUGAUGCACGAAAGCGUGGNNACGAACAGGAUUAGAUACCCUAGUAGUCC
rnacentral:rRNA from 1 species